rnacentral:rRNA from 1 species
GACGAGCGCUGGCGGCGUGCUUAACACAUGCAAGUCGAACGAAGAGCGAUGGAAGCUUGCUUCUAUCAAUCUUAGUGGCGAACGGGUGAGUAACGCGUAAUCAACCUGCCCUUCAGAGGGGGACACCAGUUGGAAACGACUGCUAAUACCGCAUACGAUCUGACCUCGGCAUCGAGGAGAGAUGAAAGGUGGCCUCUACAUGUAAGCUAUCACUGAAGGAGGGGAUUGCGUCUGAUUAGCUAGUUGGAGGGGUAACGGCCCACCAAGGCGAUGAUCAGUAGCCGGACUGAGAGGAUGAACGGCCAAAUUGGGACUGAGACACGGCCCAGACUCCUACGGGAGGCAGCAGGGGGGAAUCUUCCGCAAUGGACGAAAGUCUGACGGAGCAACGCCGCGUGAGUGAUGACGGCAUUCGGGUUGUAAAGCUCUGUUAAUCGGGACGAAAGGCCUUUUUGCGAAUAGUGAGAAGGAUUGACGGUACCGGAAUAGAAAGCCACGGCUAACUACGUG